AUUAAACGCUGGCGGCAGGCCUAACACAUGCAAGUCGAACGGUAACAGGAAGAAGCUUGCUUCUUUGCUGACGAGUGGCGGACGGGUGAGUAAUGUCUGGGAAACUGCCUGAUGGAGGGGGAUAACUACUGGAAACGGUAGCUAAUACCGCAUAACGUCGCAAGACCAAAGAGGGGGACCUUCGGGCCUCUUGCCAUCGGAUGUGCCCAGAUGGGAUUAGCGUGUUGGUGGGGUAACGGCUCACCAAGGCGACGAUCCCUAGCUGGUCUGAGAGGAUGACCAGCCACACUGGAACUGAGACACGGUCCAGACUCCUACGGGAGGCAGCAGUGGGGAAUAUUGCACAAUGGGCGCAAGCCUGAUGCAGCCAUGCCGCGUGUAUGAAGAAGGCCUUCGGGUUGUAAAGUACUUUCAGCGGGGAGGAAGGGAGUAAAGUUAAUACCUUUGCUCAUUGACGUUACCCGCAGAAGAAGCACCGGCUAACUCCGUG
rnacentral:rRNA from 1 species